rnacentral:rRNA from 1 species
UUGAUCCUGCCAGUAGUAUAUGCUUGUCUCAAAGAUUAAGCCAUGCAUGUCUAAGUACAUAUCGUCUAAUGAUUAAACCGCGAAUGGCUCAUUAAAUCAGUUGUUGUUUAUUAGAGCUUAAACCACACAGGGAUAACUGUGGUAAUUCUAUAGCUAAUACAUACAUCUAAGCUUUGACCCUCUGGGAGGAGCGCUUUUAUUAGUCUAAAACCAAACUGUCUUCGGACUGUAAUUUAAUGUUGAGUCUGAAUAACUUUGCUGAGCGUAGGGCCAUUGAGCCAACGCCAUAUCUUUCAAGUGUCUGCCUUAUCAGCUUUCGAUUGUAGCUUAUGUGCCUACAAUGGCGAUAACGGGUGACGGGGAAUCAGGGUUCGAUUCCGGAGAGGGAGCCUGAGAAACGGCUACCACAUCUAAGGAAGGCAGCAGGCACGCAAAUUACCCACUCCCAGAUCGGGGAGGUAGUGACGAAAAAUAACGAUGCGGGACUCUUCCGAGGCUUCGCAAUCGGAAUGGGUUCAAUUUAAAUCCUUGUUCGAGGAACAAUUGGAGGGCAAGUCUGGUGCCAGCAGCCGCGGUAAUUCCAGCUCCAAUAGCGUAUAUUAAAGUUGUUGCGGUUAAAAAGCUCGUAGUUGGAACUGGGGUGCACGUGUGCUCCCUUUGAUUGACUUUCUAAUUUAGUGAGCGCGAAUAGUAGGUGAUACUGGAUGCUCUUAAUCAAGUGUUCUGGAAACCUACAUGUUUACUUUGAAAAAAUUAAAGUGCUUAAAGCAGGCUAAACGCUUGAAUAAUUGUGCAUGGAAUAAUGCAAUAGGACCUCGGUUUUAUUUUUUUGGUUUUCGGAACCGAGGUAAUGAUAAAUAAGAACGGACGGGGGCAUCCGUAUUGAGGCGUUAGAGGUGAAAUUCUUGGACCGUCUCAGGACGUGCUGGGGCGCAGGCUUCUGCCCAGUACGCUUUUAUUAAUCAAGAACGAAAGUUAGAGGCUCGAAGGCGAUCAGAUACCGCCCUAGUUCUAACCGUAAAUUUUGCUAAUUAGCGAUCCGUCUGUGUUAAUCCCAUGACAAGGCGGGCAGCUUCCGGGAAACCAAAGUGUUUGAGUUCCGGGGGAAGUAUGGUUGCAAAGCUGAAACUUAAAGGAAUUGACGGAAGGGCACCACCAGGAGUGGAGCCUGCGGCUUAAUUUGACUCAACACGGGAAAACUCACCAGGCCCGGACACUGGUAGGAUUGACAGAUUGAGAGCUCUUUCUUGAUUCAGUGGGUGGUGGUGCAUGGCCGUUCUUAGUUGGUGGAGUGAUUUGUCUGGUUAAUUCCGAUAACGAACGAGACUCUCGCCUAUUAAAUAGUCGUGGCAUUUUAUAUUUUUGUUGUGUCACGUAGCUUCUUAGAGGGAUAAGCGGCAUUUAGCCGCACGAGAUUGAGCAAUAACAGGUCUGUGAUGCCCUUAGAUGUUCUGGGCCGCACGCGCGCUACACUGAAGUUAGCAGCAUGUUAUCCCUCUCCGAGAGGAAGCGGGUAACCCUUUGAAAUAACUUCGUGAUAGGGAUUGGGGCAUGAAAUUGUUCCCCAUAAACGAGGAAUUCCCAGUAAGCGUAAGUCAUUAGCUUGCGUUGAUUACGUCCCUGCCCUUUGUACACACCGCCCGUCGCUACUACCGAUUGAAUGAUUUAGUGAGGUUUUCGGACUGUCCUCUUCGCGGUCUUCGUGACUGCUUAGGGCUGAGACGGAAAGAUUCCCAAACUUGAUUAUUUAGAGGAAGUAAAAGUCGUAACAAGGUUUCCGUAGGUGAACCUGCAGAUGGAUCA